UAGGUCGACCCGCUGAAUUUAAGCAUAUCACUAAGCGGAGGAAAAGAAACUAACCAGGAUUCCCCUAGUAACGGCGAGUGAAGAGGGAAAAGCCCAGCACCGAAGCCUGUGGCAAUUUUGCUGCUAGGCAAUGUGGUGUUUAGGUCGGCUCGUGGGAUCGCCACUCCACUCGAAGUCCAGCAUUGAGUAUGGUUCCCAGGAAUUGGCCCAUAGAGGGUGAAAGGCCCGUACGAGUGGAUGUGUCAGAUAUGUAAGGCGAUUCACCAGGCCGGCCUUAGAGUCGGGUUGUUUGCGAAUGCAGCCCAAAGUGGGUGGUAAACUCCAUCCAAGGCUAAAUACUAGCACGAGUCCGAUAGCGAACAAGUACCGUGAGGGAAAGUUGAAAAGUACUUUGAAGAGAGAGUAAACAGUACGUGAAACCGCAUAGAGGUAAACGGGUGGCGUCAAGCUGCAAGCUCAGAGAAUUCAGUCGGUCAGGGUGUUGUCAUGCGCCCAGCGCAUCUAUCAGUCGGUGUAGGAUUUGGCUAGUCCGCUUGAAGAUGGCGGGCCCAGCUAGCAAUAGCUGGGAUUUGCGUACCGGGCGGUAGCCGGAGCAUGCUAGCCGUCUGUAGGACUGCCUGGCCGAUGCACUUUCUCUGUUGGUGAACACCACGACCGGUGGUACUGCCAGUCUGCUGUAGCCAGCUUCGUUGCAUACUCUGGCCUUUUGGUUGGGGCGUGUGGCGAUCACAGACAAUUUCAGUGCACGGUGCUUGUGUGUUUUUCGCAUGCGGGCAUGUUAUCGGGAACUGGUUGUAAACGGGUCGGCCUGUCGACUUGUCUGUAGUCGUGGUUGAUGGGUGACCCGGUGGGCUAUGGUGGUAUGAAUAACUGUGCAGGGCACCGGAGUUUUCGGUCCGACCAGCAGUAGUCGUUCGCGGCUGCUGUUGCCGGCUGCAUACGCACUGCAGUUUAGCGUGUGCACUGUCUUUGGCAGUAGUACGGGCGGCGCUGUUUACGGCCUGCCAGUCGUUGGGUCUGAUUGUCGUGUCGCCUGCCAAAAUGGUGGGUCCGGCGGUGGCCUGGCGUUGGAUGGUGCCUGUAGACGGAGCUGUCGUUGUGCAGCCGGUAUUUGUGUGCGCGACCUUAUAGUCUGUGGUGUAGUGGUAGACGAGCUACCCGACCCGUCUUGAAACACGGACCAAGGAGUUUAACAUGCGCGCGAGUCAUUGGGUCCUACGAAACCCAGAGGCGCAGUGAAAGUAAAGCUUCGACAUAUAUUGUUCUCGGGGUGUGGUGAGAUCCUGCUGUUUCUCGCAUACAUUUGUCCAGCACUGGGCUAACUAAACGAGCAGUGGGCGCAUCACCGGCCCGUCCCAUGAUGUGGCUAUCUGUCAGUGGCAGUUGUCGCCUUACGGUGGUGGUUGCUUUCUGCGGGUACGUCAUCGGGGCGGAGCAUGAGCGCGCAUGUUGAGACCCGAAAGAUGGUGAACUAUGCUUGCGUAGGUUGAAGCCAGAGGAAACUCUGGUGGAGGACCGCAGCGAUUCUGACGUGCAAAUCGAUCGUCAAACGUGAGUAUAGGGGCGAAAGACUAAUCGAACCAUCUAGUAGCUGGUUCCCUCCGAAGUUU
rnacentral:rRNA from 1 species